AUUGAACGCUGGCGGCAUGCUUUACACAUGCAAGUCGAACGGUAACAGGCCGCAAGGUGCUGACGAGUGGCGAACGGGUGAGUAAUGCAUCGGAACGUGCCCAGUCGUGGGGGAUAACGCAGCGAAAGCUGUGCUAAUACCGCAUACGAUCUAUGGAUGAAAGCGGGGGACCGUAAGGCCUCGCGCGAUUGGAGCGGCCGAUGUCAGAUUAGGUAGUUGGUGAGGUAAAGGCCUACCAAGCCGACGAUCUGUAGCUGGUCUGAGAGGACGACCGGCCACACUGGGACUGAGACACGGCCCAGACUCCUACGGGAGGCAGCAGUGGGGAAUUUUGGACAAUGGGCGCAAGCCUGAUCCAGCAAUGCCGCGUGCAGGAAGAAGGCCUUCGGGUUGUAAACUGCUUUUGUACGGAACGAAACGGUCUGGGUUAAUACCCUGGGCUAAUGACGGUACCGUAAGAAUAAGCACCGGCUAACUACGUGCCAGCCGCCGCAGUAAAAC
rnacentral:rRNA from 1 species